rnacentral:rRNA from 1 species
CACCCGCAGCUCUAGUGGUGGUCACUUUUAUUGAGCCUAAAGCGUUCGUAGCCGGUCCUGUAAAUCUCCAGAAAAAUUCUCCCGCUUAACGGGAGAUCCUCUGAAGAGACUGCAGGACUAGGGACUGGGUGAGGUUGAAUGUACUUCCAGGGUAGGGGUAAAAUCCUGUAAUCCCGGAAGGACAACCGGUGGCGAAGGCGUUCAACUAGAACAGAUCCGACGGUGAGGAACGAAGGCUAGGGGAGCAAACCGG